AUGUUGUAUGAAUGGAGAGGAGGUUAGCAUACCCCUUGCUAACAGAACAGAAGAGGCACUUGGGCCUACAACACAUAUACAGUUAAAAAAACAAGUUAUUUCUUGACUUAAGACACUUGACAUAUGU